rnacentral:rRNA from 1 species
CGUAGGGUCCGAGCGUUGUCCGGAAUUAUUGGGCGUAAAGAGCUCGUAGGCGGCGUGUCGCGUCUGCUGUGAAAGACCGGGGCUUAACCCCGGUUCUGCAGUGGAUACGGGCAUGCUAGAGGUAGGUAGGGGAGACUGGAAUUCCUGGUGUAGCGGUGAAAUGCGCAGAUAUCAGGAGGAACACCGGUGGCGAAGGCGGGUCUCUGGGCCUUACCUGACGCUGAGGAGCGAAAGCAUGGGGAGCGAACAGGAUU